CUAUUAGAUCAACAUGAUAUUCGGAUAUGUUGUUCUCAUCCAUGUCAUAUACAUUGUCACUAUAGGGAUUUUCUAUAUCAGUCCCCGUUUGAGAGAUAUCGAGGGAGGAAAAUAUCUUGGAAAAUACACUUCUGGACAGUCUUCUUUGCUGUCUGUUUUCUCCUUCUGCCACUAUUGGAUUAAGCUAUAACUUGGAUAUGUUGUUUUUCCUGAUUUUUUCUAGAUUAUGAAUGGUGGAGAUAUAAAACAAACAUUCGGUAUAGAAGUUAUGUAUCUCGCACAGUAGGUCUGCAAGUUUGAGUAGGGACGUCAUGCCAAUAAGGUGCCUAGGAAACCCGAUACACGGGAACCUACUUUUGCAAUGAAUCAUGUAGUUACAUUCUAAAUCAUGAUGUAUUUUAUAUGAAUCAAUGUACUAAACGUAUAACUAUUAUUAGAUUCUUUUAGAUUAAAUUCAUGAUGACUAUUUGUUAGAUAGAAUACAAACUCAUGACUAUGCAUGUAUAUUUUAAAUGCGAACUUCUAAUCAUGCAAACAUAAUAUCAUGAGUUUAUGUAAGAUUCACUUUUAAAUGAAAUGUUGAUUGUUGUUGAUGUA